rnacentral:tRNA from 1 species
GUAGUUCACUGGUAGAAUGCUUGCCUAACAUGCAUGAGGACCUGAGUUCAAUCCCCAGC